UACGUAGGGUGCGAGCGUUGCCCGGAAUUACUGGGCGUAAAGAGCUCGUAGGUGGUUUGUCGCGUUGUUCGUGAAAACUCACAGCUCAACUGUGGGCGUGCGGGCGAUACGGGCAGACUGGAGUACUGCAGGGGAGACUGGAAUUCCUGGUGUAGCGGUGGAAUGCGCAGAUAUCAGGAGGAACACCGGUGGCGAAGGCGGGUCUCUGGGCAGUAACUGACGCUGAGGAGCGAAAGCGUGGGGAGCAAACAGG
rnacentral:rRNA from 1 species